GCCGGGAUAGUCUAGUCCGGUAAGGCGGCGGCCUUGAAAGCCGCUGGUGCUCUGCACCUCGGGAGUUCAAAUCUCCCUCCCGGCG
rnacentral:tRNA from 1 species